CCAUUAGCCUGUGGAUAGUGGGGGCUGGAUGUUACAUGCCCAAAGUUAUACGUUUCGCUGAAUUGCCUGAACUCUGCCGAAGUGAACUGGGUACCGUUAUCUGAUACCAGCUCGAGUGGGAUCCCCCACCUGACAAACAUGCUCUUUAACCGAGAAAUAACUUGCUGGCUACUCAUGGAGCACAACAAGCCGUAAAAAGCGUUCCAGGAUCGGAGCCAAGGCGCACGUCCUAAAGUGGUUAUGAAUCAGGGAGCUUUUAGGAGGCGCCCACUUUCCCCAUCUGAGAGUCUGCAGCGAGACAACAGUAACUCGACCGACCUGAAACAACGCCAGGCAACCCACCCAACACAGAGCGGGGGGGGGUGCACAUGCUUUGUUCUGGCACUUUGCAGUUUCUUUCCCAUGAUGCACUGCUUUACCACAGAUCACACCAUACUGUUACUGACCUGUCAGUUUAACUAAAGCUUUAAAUGUUUAAGUGAACGCCCAGCAAGUGCUUCAAGGGGAGAUAAGACUUUGGUUUUAACAAAAUAUGAUCACAUAUUCAUUCAGUGGGUUCACAUGUGUAAUUGUUUGAAUGUUUUGGAAUAUCAAAUCAAAUAACUGGUUUGGUCCGUUUCAUAUAAAUAUUUAUUGCAGUGGAGGUAUGUUUUAUGUACAUGCUAACACAAUAUAACACAAUAUAUAAAUCUAACAAAUAUUCAUAUAUGUUAGUUAGUUGCUCUGUUAUUAAGCAGUAGGUUUAACAAGCACGCAAUACAGUGGGUUAGGUACAGUAUCACACACUAUACAACUUGUAACAGUCCAUAAAAGAUUCGGUCUGUGUAUUUUUUUUUCGUAUUUCUUUUUUUCUCUUUUCAACUUUUUCUGUCUUGGUUCAGUCGAGGGCAGUGAAACAUCAGUCCUACUAAUUUCUUCAAAUCAUGCAGAAGCCACAAGAGCAACAACUUAACAGCAUUGAGUAGUAUUGUAGUAACGUUAGUGGUACCUGUUAGUAAUAGAAGUAGCAGUAAUAGUAGUACAAUUAGUGGUACUAGUUAUAUUGGUCGUAGUAUUUGAUGUAAUUUGACUCCAGA
ensembl:lncRNA